rnacentral:rRNA from 1 species
ACGGGGGGGGCGAGCGUUGUUCGGAAUUACUGGGCGUAAAGGGCGCGUAGGCGGCCGGCUCAGUCAGACGUGAAAUCCCUCGGCUCAACCGGGGAGCUGCGUCUGAUACUGGCUGGCUCGAAUCCGGGAGAGGGAAGUGGAAUUCCAGGUGUAGCGGUGAAAUGCGUAGAUAUCUGGAGGAACACCGGUGGCGAAGGCGGCACCCUGGACGACACCAGACGCUGAGACGCGACAGCACGGGGAGCGAACGG